GACGAACGCUGGCGGCGUGCUUAACACAUGCAAGUCGAACGAAGUGGCGAACGGGUGAGUAACGCGUAAUCAACCUGCCUUUCAGAGGGGGACAACAGUUGGAAACGACUGCUAAUACCGCAUACUGAAGGAGGGGAUUGCGUCGGAUUAGCUAGUUGGAGGGGUAACGGCCCACGAAGGCGAUGAUCAGUAGGCGGUCUGGGAGGAUGGACGGCCACAUUGGGACUGGGACAGGGCCCAGACUCCUACGGGAGGCAGCAGUGGGGAAACUUCCGCAAUGGACGAAAGUCUGACGGAGCAACGGCGCGUGAGGGAUGACGGCCUUCGGGUUGGAAAGCUCUGUUAAUCGGGACGCGGUACCGGAAUAGAAAGCCACGGCUAACUACGUGCCAGCCGCCGCGGUAAUAC
rnacentral:rRNA from 1 species